rnacentral:rRNA from 1 species
UACGUAGGGGGCUAGCGUUGUCCGGAAUCAUUGGGCGUAAAGAGCGUGUAGGCGGCCCGGUAAGUCCGCUGUAAAAGUCAAAGGCUCAACCUUUGAAUGUCAGUGGAUACUGCCGGGCUAGAGUCCGGAAGAGGCGAGUGGAACUCCUGGUGUAGCGGUGGAAUGCGCAGAUAUCAGGAAGAACACCAACGGCGAAGGCAGCUCGCUGGGACGGUACUGACGCUGAGACGCGAAAGCGUGGGGAGCGAACGGG